rnacentral:rRNA from 17 species
CCUGGUGAUUAUGGCGGGUGGUCUGCACCCGAUCUCAUUCCGAACUCGGCCGUGAAACCGCCCAGCGCCAAUGGUACUUCGUCUUAAGACGCGGGAGAGUAGGUCGUCGCCAGGU